GGCCAAUGACUUGAAUUAAUUGUCCGUACCAUCUGAAGCUUGGCAUUUGCUGGUUUAUUGAUGUACCUUUUCUUCUGAGGCCU
rfam:Oryza nivara chromosome 6, whole genome shotgun sequence.